UGCGGAGUGGAGCAGUUGGCAGCUCGUUGGGCUCAUAACCCAAAGGUCGUCAGUUCGAGUCUGGCCUCCGCAA
rnacentral:tRNA from 1 species